rnacentral:rRNA from 1 species
UACGUAGGCAGCAAGCGUUGUUCGGAAUUACUGGGCGUAAAGGGCGCGUAGGCGGCUCUGCACGUCCGUUGUGAAAUCGCCCGGCUCAACUGGGCGGGGUCAGCGGAUACGGCGGAGCUUGAGCAAGCUAGGGGGCAAUGGAAUUCCCGGUGUAGUGGUGGAAUGCGUAGAUAUCGGGAGGAACACCAGUGGCGAAGGCGGUUGCCUGGGGCUUUGCUGACGCUGAUGCGCGAAAGCGUGGGGAGCGAUCCGG